UAACUACAUAGCCGCGCCUGCGGACCAAA
rnacentral:sRNA from 1 species